UCGGCCCUAGCCAUUUCACACAUAGAUUCACUGGAUAAAAGUAGCUUGUAACUUCGUUUGACAGGUACAUAAUUUUAGAUCUGAUCAGUAAUCAUGUAUAGAUCAAACACUUUUAGAUAGAAUCAUAGAACAAUCAAAUAUUAACCAACACCGACACGUAUAAAAUGUGCAUAUGAUAUAUGUGCAUCGGUGGUCCUUGGUGGGUCACGUCCUUUAUUGUGGUGCAGGGUUUUCUAAGGUGGGGAUUGGAUUCAGAAAUUUGAUAGAAUUAGAAAGAAUCAUAGUUUCCAUUAAAUUCCACUGUUAUUCAAUUGUUGAUUUCAUCGAUUCUUUUAAAUUUUUUUGUUAUUGGAUUAAGCAUUUCAAAUCAUUCUUUUAAUUACUUUAAAUUAUGUUAUUCAAUAUUUAAUAGAUUUUGUAGUAGCGAUAUUUGAUAAGAAUUUAAUGGAAAAUGUCAUCUAUAAAUGUAAAAGGUCAAUUCUUUGCUCUUAUGCAGAGAUUUGUAAUUAAUCGUAGGAAAACACAAACAAUAGCAUUUUUCUACUUCUCAUUUUUCCAGAAGUACGUAAAGAAUGAAGAGAUUUUUGUGGAUGAUAAUUAAUGAGUUAUCGGCAAAUAUAAAGAACAACAAUUAACAAAUAUAAAGUCAAUGUUGUCUUGUUGCUGAAGAAACCCAGUGUCGGUUAACUAAACCAAAAUGCCUUCUGAAAUUUUCGAUUGUGUGCUUUCGCAUUACGAACACAAGAGCAAGAUAAAGAAAAUGCAAAUACUUGGAAAAAAACUAUGGCAGAACUUAGAAGAUUUGUGGAGAAAUGCUAUGGGUUUAGAUGAUCCAUAUAUUUUAUUUAUUAGUAUUAUGAUUUUAAUAAAAUUGCUACAAUCCAUAAACUAUGUAGUACUAAUUACUAUUUUUCUUUCAGUUUUAAGAAUAAAAUAAUUUUUGUUACCUUUUUAAAUAUACAAUGAUUCGAAAAUUCAUAGAAUUUAGAGGAAUUAAUAUUCUAUCAAAUUUAUGUAUAUCCUUUUAAAACCAAUAAUAGAAGUAAGCAUAGGAAUUAGAUAAAUGCAUUAUAAUCUCAUCGAAUCUUUGAAAAUACAGCAAAAGUUUACCAUUGUGACACGUCCCAACUCUCUACCCAAUUAUUCUUCUUUCUCUAUUCCUUUCCGUGAGAUUUUGAAUAUCUUCUACACAAAAAGCCCCACCAGAUUGCAAAGACCAAAACUAAAGUCUCUAUCAACAAAAGAAAAUUCCCGUUGUUGUCUGAAAGCUUACCACGCGUUGCCGAAUGAAUGGGUUAGUCUAAAAGCAAGCAAAAACAAAUAUGUACAUGCUUUUCAUUUAUUGAAUUCUGAACUCAUUCCAUCCAGACGGUGACACAUAACCCAUCUUCCUUUUUUGUUUGUCCAUUACAAACAACUAAAAAA
rnacentral:lncRNA from 1 species